UAUAUGCAGCAUUGGUCUUGCUAUUUGCAUCUGGUGCUUGUCCCCGAUGCCUUAAACCCUCAACUCAUCCGUGUGCGAAAUACGCAUCAGUCGGAAAGCGCACGUUAAAUCUCCAAAGUAAGUAAGUAAGUAAGCUUGUGGGUCACCAUCUCCGUAAAAGGUCUACACCUCAUGCUGCGAUAUCAUCUCAGUGUAUACUUGGAUUGUUAAAAUAUCAAGGCUCCCACAGGUGCCAGUCUGAGUACAUGCUGUACGAAGACCAACGGUCGAGCUCAUGAUGCCUUGUAUCCACCAUCUUUAUGGUGGAUGCGCUUCUGGGAAGGUCCACAUCACAUGCCGUUUCAGGUCCACUGUCUUGCUCUGCUCCACUUCCACCAUCUCACACUUCAGCUCCAGGGAAGGUCCACCAUCUCAGGCCGAUCCAGGUCCACCAUCUCCGCUACUUCGGGGAGGUCCAUCUCACACUGCUCCAGGUCCACCAUCUCACGCUGCUCCAGGUCCACCAUCUCACUCUGCUCAAGGGAAGCUCCACCAUCUCUUGCUGCUCCCAGGAUCCACCAUCUCACGCUGCUCCCGGGAAGGUCCACCAUCUCACGCUGCUCCCAGGAAGGUCCACCAUCUCACGCUGCUCCCAGGAAGGUCCACCAUCUCACGCUGCUCCCGGGAAGGUCCACCAUCUCACGCUGCUCCCAGGAAGGUCCACCAUCUCACGCUGCUCCCAGGAAGGUCCACCAUCUCACGCUGCUCCCAGGAAGGUCCACCAUCUCACGCUGCUCCCGGGAAGGUCCACCAUCUCACGCUGAUCCAGGGAAGCUCCACCAUCUUAAGCUCCGCCGGGGAAGGUCCACCAUCUCUUGUUGCUCAGGGGAAAGGGCCACCAUCUCUUGUUGCUCAGGGGAAAGGGCCACCAUCUCUUGUUGCUCAGGGGAAAGGUCCAGCAUCUCACGCAGCUCCCGGGAAGGUCCACCAUCUCACGCUGAUCCAGGUCCAUCAUCUCGCUCUGAUCCAGGGAAGGUCCAUCUCACGCUGCUCUCAGGAAGGUCCACCAUCUCACGCUGCUCCCAGGAAGGUCCACCAUCUCACGCUGCUCCCAGGAAGGUCCACCAUCUCACGCUGCUCCCAGGAAGGUCCACCAUCUCACGCUGCUCCCAGGAAGGUCCACCAUCUCACACUGAUCCAGGGAAGCUCCACCAUCUUAAGCUCCGCCGGGGAAGGUCCACCAUCUCUUGUUGCUCAGGGGAAAGGUCCAGCAUCUCACGCAGCUCCUGGGAAGGUCCAGGUCCAGGUCCAGGUCCAGCAUCUCACACCGACCAAGGUCCACCAGGUCUCACGCCUCUCCGGGGAAGGUCCACAUCUCAAGCCUCUCCAGGGAAGGUCCACCAUCUCAAGCCUCUCCGGGGAAGGUCCACCAUCUCACGCUGAUCCAGGAAAGUCCACCAUCUCACGCUGCUCCCGGGAAGGUCCACCAUCUCACGCUGCUCCCAGGAAGGUCCACCAUCUCACGCUGCUCCCAGGAAGGUCCACCAUCUCACACUGAUCCAGGGAAGCUCCACCAUCUUAAGCUCCGCCGGGGAAGGUCCACCAUCUCUUGUUGCUCAGGGGAAAGGGCCACCAUCUCUUGUUGCUCAGGGGAAAGGUCCACCAUCUCACGCUGAUCCAGGAAAGUCCACCAUCUCACGCUGAUCCAGGGGAGGUCCAUCAUCUCACGCUGAUCCA
rnacentral:misc_RNA from 1 species